rnacentral:sRNA from 1 species
GCUGCGCAUGGUGGCGCAUGCCUGUAAUCCCAGCGACUGGGGAGGCUGAGACAGGAGGAUGGUGAGUUCAAAGCCAGCCUCAGCAAAAAGCAUGGUGCUAAGCAACUCAGUGAGGACCCUGUUUCUA